UGGGGAAUAUUGCACAAUGGGCGAAAGCCUGAUGCAGCGACGCCGCGUGAGGGAUGACGGCCUUCGGGUUGUAAACCUCUUUCAGCAGGGACGAAGCGCAAGUGACGGUACCUGCAGAAGAAGCACCGGCUAACUACGUGCCAGCAGCCGCGGUAAUACGUAGGGUGCAAGCGUUGUCCGGAAUUACUGGGCGUAAAGAGUUCGUAGGCGGUUGGUCGCGUCGUUUGUGAAAACCAGCAGCUCAACUGCUGGCUUGCAGGCGAUACGGGCAGACUUGAGUACUGCAGGGGAGACUGGAAUUCCUGGUGUAGCGGUGAAAUGCGCAGAUAUCAGGAGGAACACCGGGAGGGAAGGCGGGUCUCUGGGCAGUAACUGACGCUGAGGAACGAAAGCGUGGGUAGCGAACAGG
rnacentral:rRNA from 1 species